GUUCUGCAGACACGCGCAAUGAUAGCCGGAAGCACCGAUGAGAGGAAAAUAAAAAUCGAUGAAAUCCACAGUGAUUCGCGAGUGUAAACCUACCACUUAACUGUCCUUUGCGCGACCGCGGGCUCGAAUUGAUCAGACUUUCACACUGCCACUGUGCCGGAGGGGACGGCAGAGAGCAGAGGAGCUGCUCCGUGUCAACCAAGUUGCUCGGUGGGGGUUUAGCUGACGUGUGGAGAAGUUGAGACUGCCAGAGAGCAGAUAAACAAACAUAAACAAGCAGGGAUCAGCUGAGCGCCUGCCCGAACCGAACCAGCAGCACGGAGAGAUGUCACGGGGGACGAGUUUCCUCUUUUGAGCCCAAGAAUGAUCCACAGGAGACCGUGACUUACACUGAUACCAGCUCCAUCUGAUACCAGCUCCAUGUCAACUGUCAACACUGGCACACAAAGAAUUUCAGCACGAGGACCAGCCAUAGGCUCUAUCAGAAAAUCCAGUCACUGUCUCUGUGUCAAGACAUAGCCAGCCUAGCAUGGACAACCAAUGAGUUUACCUUCAGGUUUUCAGCUGUAACGAAACGAACACAUAUUACAGUGCCAGGAGACAGAGGUGUCAGAGGUGGGAUUAACAUGGCCCAACAGGCAACCCCUAGUUCCCAGAAGGCCCUGAUGAUGGAGCUGAAGUCUCUGCAGGAGCAGCCGGUCGAGGGCUUCCGCAUCACUCUGGUGGAGGAAUCUGACCUCUACAACUGGGAAGUGGCCAUCUUCGGCCCCCCAAACACCCUGUAUGAGGGAGGCUAUUUCAAGGCACACAUCAAGUUCCCAGUUGACUACCCGUACUCCCCACCGACCUUCCGCUUCCUCACUAAGAUGUGGCAUCCCAACAUCUACGAGAACGGAGAUGUGUGCAUCUCCAUCCUGCACCCUCCUGUCGAUGACCCUCAGAGCGGGGAGCUACCCUCUGAAAGGUGGAACCCCACCCAGAACGUCAGGACUAUCCUGCUUAGUGUGAUCUCUCUGCUCAAUGAGCCCAACACCUUCUCCCCGGCCAACGUGGAUGCGUCUGUCAUGUUUCGCAAAUGGAGGGACAGCAAAGGCAAGGACAAGGAGUACGCAGAGAUUAUCAGGAAGCAGGUGAUGUCAACAGCAGCAGACGCCGAGCGCGAUGGCGUCAAGGUGCCAACCACAUUGGCAGAGUACUGCGUCCAGACACGGGUUCCCUCCCAGGACAGCAGUUCAGACCUUCUCUAUGAUGACCUCUAUGACGACGACAUGGAGGAGGAGGACGAGGAGGAAGACGAGAGCGAGAUGGAGUCUGUAGGUGAAGCCGGGGGGAUCAGCGCCGCAGAGGACUGCGGGACGUCCACCAGACGUUACGACAACCAGGACGACUCUGGCAACGAAGACUCGUGAUGAUCUGGAUGAUAACUCCUCCCUGCAAACUCCGCCCACAACCCUCCCUCUUUGAUGUGUUGCGGUUGUGUGUGUGUGUGUGUGCGUGUGUGUGUGUGUGUGCGUGUUUGCACAUACAGUGGGGUCGAAGGUCUACUGCCAAAAACUUUUCAUCAUUUAUUAAACUAAUACACAUGACUAGUCAAAUAAUAGUUCUCAAAUGCUAUUACAAACAUUUUCAGGAAAUGUUUGCUGGUUCUGUUUUCACUUAAAGUCAGAGCUCGCUGUUUCCACCGUUUGCCUUAAUCACAGCCUGCACUCUGUCCGGCAUCAGAUGUUUUGAGAAGUGAAAUAAUUCCAGCACUGUUUGAGUGUUUUUUGCGUUUUAUUUCACGCUUCUGCAGAAUAGAGUGGUGUUACUCUACGUCUGUGUGCAAUUAAUUAUGUGCAAGUUACUGACUCCAGACAAGGCCAUACACAGAGUACACACAGUAUUUCUGUCACUUUGUUUAACUCUAGUUUAUAGUCGCUCUUUCAUGCAAGCAACUCCUCACAUGCUGCGGUGUAAGUUGUUUGGUUGCAGCUAUGAAGUAGAUUUUUCUUUAGUACAACAACACAAGUUUCUUUAAUUCUUCAACAAUGAAAUUUCUGAAUUGUUUAAUCCAUGCUAAACCAUUUGACCUGUUUUUCCAUUACACAAGUAGUUUGGUAACUGCUACAGUUUCUUUGUCUGUUAACUGUAGUUUUGUUGUUGCAUCUUGGAUGCAGAUGCAGUUCUGUCUCACAAGGAUAUUGGCUUUAUACUGUGGUGCCAUCUGUAGGUCUGGUCCCAGUCCCUUUUUUCAUGUUCAGGCAUUGCCAGUAUUAACAGUAACAGUUACUUGGAACAUAAUAAUUAACAUUGUGUUGGAGCAUACAUGUCCUAAUAUUUCAAUUAUACUGCAUACAUGGUGAAACAAACAUUUUAGACAAUCUCCUAUCUCAUAUACAAGUAUAUCAAUUACUUAAAAGCACUUCCCAAAGAUCCAAAGAUAAAACUCUCACGUAUCAGUUUUAAGUAAUGUGUGUGUUUUUUAUUUGAAAACCUACCCACAAAGUAAACAACUUGUCUUAGUUUUUGAUAAAUGAUGAAAACAAACUGUCCUUGUGGUGGUCACUUGAACCCUGCUGUAGCUGGCCGGCUCUUCGUCUGGCUGUUCCAUGUCCGAUUGUAUGGUUUUGUGUUAUAAGAUUAGCUCUCUCCACUGUGUCUGCACUCAUUGCUGGGUUUUUUCUCCUAUGUACUUCUUUUAUUUAGUUGGUUGAUGUUCUGUCCUCCCUGACUUGUCCCUUGCAUUUCCCAGGAUGGCACAGACAGGCUGGCUAAUGGCCACUUGGCUGUUUGGCUCAUUAACCAGUCCAUGAGCUGGCCAGCUUGUCCUGUCACUAUCCAUCAUUGUGUCCCGUGGCAGAAUAUCUUUGUCCCUCUCACGCCCUGUCUGUUCGACUUUGAUGCAGUCAACUUAAACUUGCAGACACAGGCUCUGCCGUGACUCUUCCCCCUCUUGGACCCACCUUCAGUAGUGUCCAUCACAACUGCUCCCUCAUAAUCCCUCAAAGCAACGUCAUUUGGUUUUUGGGGGGGACAAGGUUAAGACCUUUUCUCACGUCGCCUCCUACACCCCUCUCUGCCUCUUAAACCUCAGGGCCUCAAUAGACUUUCACUGAGAGAGAAACAGAAACAGUCAGAGAAACUUAACACACAAACUGCUCCUCACCUCCACCUCCUUUUCUUACUUUCUGCAUCACCGGGUGGUUUUUGAGGGCAGAGGGUGAACUGAAAGUGGCCAAUCCCACCGCCAGCGUGGUUACACGUGAUUGAGUGUCGCUGUUGGUCCUGAUCAGGGUCCUGUAAGUUGUUUUCUUCUUGGUAGGCUAGAGUCAAAAAUAAAAUAAAAAAAAUCUAAACACACCUGUAGGGACUCUCUCCUCGAGACAAUGCUCACAUUAUGUUGCGAUAGAUGUGAAAAUGUUACCUUUUGACUCCAACUUCAGCUUAAAUGCAACUUUUUUCAAAUUUGGACGUCGUUACUGUGCUACGCCAUCAGUCUGUUCAUCGACAGGGACGAAAUCAUCCAGCUUAGCUACACAUUUACAUUUGAAUGAAUAUGACACUGAUUGCCUGUUAUCUGUGUGUGUGUGUAUUUACAUCUAUUGACUAUAAUGUCAGGGUUUUCUUGUUCCCGUCUGUGCAACAGGUGCAGACUUCUGUCACACGUGUGUGUUUGCCCAGAUGACAGGUUGGACUUCGUCAAGUGGGGAAAACACUGUGUGUUUGCACUGUGUUCUUGUGCUGUUUUGGGAGGCCUGAAUUAGCUGAGGGUUUGACUGAUAAAAAAAACAACCCUCCGAGUAUUAACCUUUUGAGCACACUGAAGAGAAUAAUGUGACUAAUAUCACUUGUAAGGCAUCAAGUAAACCACACAUUUUGACCUGUG